rnacentral:rRNA from 1 species
GACGAACGCUGGCGGCGUGCUUAACACAUGCAAGUCGAACGGAAAGGCCCUGCUUUUGUGGGUUGCUCGAGUGGCGAACGGGUGAGUAACACGUGAGUAACCUGCCCUUGACUUUGGGAUAACUUCAGGAAACUGGGGCUAAUACCGGAUAUGAGCUCCUGCUGCAUGGUGGGGGUUGGAAAGUUUCGGCGGUUGUGGAUGGACUCGCGGCUUAUCAGCUUGUUGGUGGGGUAGUGGCUUACCAAGGCUUUGACGGGUAGCCGGCCUGAGAGGGUGACCGGCCACAUUGGGACUGAGAGACGGCCCAGACUCCUACGGGAGGCAGCAGUGGGGAAUAUUGCACAAUGGGCGGAAGCCUGAGGCAGCAACGCCGCGUGCGGGAUGACGGCCUUCGGGUUGUAAACCGCUUUCGCCUGUGACGAAGCGUGAGUGACGGUAAUGGGUAAAGAAGCACCGGCUAACUACGUG